UCGCUCCUUUCCCUUAUUCUGUUUCUUUUCUGCUGCUGCUCCACUCUUGCCGAAGCCGCCGCCGCCCCGCGUGCACAGGCCGCAGCGGCCGCCGCCCUUGAUUUGGAUUUGGAUGCUUUCUUGAAGCGACACCGACGCCGUCCCGAACUCCCGACUAACCGGAACACCUGCGACCUGCGACCUGCGAGGCUGCGUACGCUCUGCGACGCCCGUGGGUGAUCCCCAGUUUCGAAUUUCAUCCAAGACUCAGGAUCAGGAUGUACAGUUGAAGACAUACAGGUAAUGAUACAGUGUUUACAAGACUUGACAUAGCGCAGUAAGCACUAAGCACCGAAAUACUGUUGAUCAUGAUUCUUUUUACGAAUGUUAAUCAUGAUUGUUAGCAGUAAAAAUCGAGUACUCCGUACUUUAUAUUUUAGAUACUAGAGUAUCUGAGACUCUGAUCACUACCAUGACAAAGUGAUUGGAAGUUGAUUUGCCGACCACUCUACUUAUUGAACAAUGCAAUUUUCUUUUAAUGAUAUUAGAUCAUAAGCCAUGAUCUCAAACAGGACCAAACAUGUAAGAAAAAAGCAUCACAAGGUUGCACUAAACUUCAUAUGCGGAGGCAUAUCAAAGAUUAUUGAAGUCUGAUCAUAGAUAGAAUCAGUAGCAAGCGUUUUAGAUUUCCAAAUGUCAGGAAACUUUUUUUCCUCCAACUAUUGCCGGCAUGUAGAUGGAUCGUUAGUGGCCCACUUUAGGACCUAACUACGUUUUUUGUAACCAGAUACCAUGCUUGUAUCUAGUGUCUACUCUAGACGCUUCAAGUCAACACAAAACUGUAUCUAUCAGGAAUGUGAUGUAUUUUGGAAGGAGAGUAUGUCUUAGCAAAAUGAUUGGACAAUGUUUUUGUGGAUUGAUCAAAGGCUUGAAUAUGGAUAACUAAACUUGGACAACCAUUGCAUACUGCUCAUCGGCCAAUCAUGAUAGAGCUGUUUAUGAAGGCCAAAAAUUCGGCGAGUCAUUCAGUCAACUUCAAUAGUGAGGUUUAGUAUCCACAGAUUAGGCACGUUUCUAGCAUGACAGUGUACUCUUCAUAAUUGAUACAGUAUAUGCUAGGGUGUGGAGCUGUGCACUCAUGACUCGCCUUUGCAAGGGGUCUGAUUAAGUGAUUAGCUAUCGGGAUUUAGCUGCAAGAUCGUACCGACAUUUGAAUAUCUUGAAGAAUUGUUGUCACUCAUCAAUCAUUCAUGUUUUUCCAACACUAUUAUUUGAAAUAACAUGUUAGUGCUUCAUGUCCCCAUGCUAGUGUUCUCUUAAUCAUAUGAAAUGUGAAGCUUAAAACCAAGUCCACACACAUAGGAUUUUCUGGUUUAAUACUCCCUCCCUCCCGAAUUAACUGACGUGGAUUUGUAUAAGAGUCUAUACAAGUCCACGUCAGUUAAUUCGGGACGGAGGGAAUAUAUUUUUUCUCUUUGUUAUUAAAUGAACUCAUGUCCCCAUGUUCAUAGCUCGGGUUAAAUGGUUUUGUUCGCUUGUUCUAUAAAAAAAGGUGACAAUAUCUGUUAGUUUUCUAUUUGAUCAAAUGCUGUCGAGAAAUAUAUGUAACAAAGAGACAUGUAGUGUCUACCUAUAAUAGAGCACACCUUAUUGAUGCACUGAGAAGUUUCAUCUUGUUUCUUUUUUCAGAAUUAUCUUUAUAUCCUGCAUCAACAUAUGCUAUAGUACUUAAUAUCAAAAUAUGUGUGUACUUUAUAAUAAAGAGUAACAUGAUAUUUAGUACAUGAAUAUCUUGUAUGCUCUUAGUGCACUUCCUGUCAAUUGAGAGUAGCUUUACUUCAAUUUCAAGAUUCUACAUUCCCUGUUGAAGUUGGUGAAUUUGGUCCAAUAUGGAUUUGAAGUCCAUAUGUCGACUUCAGAUAGAGCAGCCAUACUCCAACAAUGGAAGUGCAUAAGAAUUUCAAGGCAAAUCUAAUCUAAUAAUCACAAGAAUGACUCAACAUAAAGUGCUGCCCAAUGUUAUGGAGAAGAAUAUGAUAACAAAAAAAUCAAGUACAUUCAAACAAAGGAAUAAUGCCAAUGCAAAUGAGUGAGUUAUUUACUAAUAAUAGUGUUUUUGGUGAGGUUUGUGGAACCUUCAAAGUGUUGGGUAUGCUGAGGUAUACAACGAGCUACUCUAAUUGAGAGAAUGUGCACCAAGAAUACACAACACAUUCAGGUAUUAUGUCUCAUGUUACUCUUUCUUGUACACAACACACAUUUUUUUAUACUAAAUAGAGCACAUGUUGAUGCAAUGUAUGAAGAUCAUUUUGGUACCUCCACUUGCCUGCUCGCCCCUUAGUACUAGCAGGUACCAUCCAUCUGCAGCCAUUGCAAUGGAUAGAUAACUGAAGGACUUUCCUUGCACAUGAAUCUCAGACAGUAGAAUUGCUCGUUUCAGAUUUAUCAUACCUGACAUUUCAGAACACAAAAGACAUUUGUUUUGUGCAGUAUAGAACAAAUACAUGUCCGAAACAAGGUUGCAUACUGUUUUGCGUGUAUGAUGAAUGCCAUAAUUAAGCAUGGCGCCUUUUCAGAAUGUACUAUUGCAACCUGCCGGUUGCUUAACUACGUACACAGUUAUUCUGUUAAGAAGAAGUACUACACAGUUA